rnacentral:pre_miRNA from 1 species
AAUCUGAAGCUGGAUGUGUUAUGAAGCUUUUUUAUCAUAUCACAGCCAUGCUACAGAGUUA